rnacentral:rRNA from 1 species
GACGAACGCUGGCGGCGUGCUUAACACAUGCAAGUCGAACGCUGAAGCUCAGCUUGCUGGGUGGAUGAGUGGCGAACGGGUGAGUAACACGUGAGUAACCUGCCCUCUGCUUUGGGAUAACGCCCGGAAACGGGUUCUAAUACUGGGUAUUCACUGAUUCUCGCCAGGGGGUUGGUGGAAAGGUUUUUUCUGGAGGACGAUGGGCUCGCGGCCUAUCAGCUUGUUGGGGGGGUGAUGGCCUAACAAGGCUUUGCCGGGUAGCCGGCCUGAGAGGGUGACCGGGCACAUUGGGACGGAGAAGCGGCCCAGACGCCGACGGGGGGCGGAAGUGGGGAAUAUUGCACAAUGGGCGAAAGACUGAUGCAGCGAGGGCGCGUGAGGGAUGGAGGCCGUCGGGUUGUAAAGCUCGUGCGCUCCGGGUCAAGCCGCAGCGUUGGGUUGUGGUGAGGGUAGUGGGUAAAGAAGCGCCGGCUAACUACGUG